GAGGGUGUAGCUCAGUGAUAGAGCACAUGCCUAACAUGCACAAGAUCUUGGGUUCAGUCCCCACUACCUCCA
rnacentral:tRNA from 1 species